rnacentral:rRNA from 1 species
UGGGGAAUAUUGGACAAUGGGCGCAAGCCUGAUCCAGCAAUGCCGCGUGUGUGAAGAAGGCCUUCGGGUUGUAAAGCACUUUUAUCAGGAGCGAAACGCUGUCGGCUAAUACCCGGCGGAACUGACGGUACCUGAGGAAUAAGCACCGGCUAACUUCGUGCCAGCAGCCGCGGUAAUACGAAGGGUGCAAGCGUUAAUCGGAAUUACUGGGCGUAAAGCGUGCGUAGGCGGUUUCUUAAGUCUGCUGUGAAAUCCCCGGGCUCAACCUGGGAAUGGCAGUGGAUACUGGGAGGCUAGAGUGUGUCAGAGGGUGGUGGAAUUCCCGGUGUAGCGGUGAAAUGCGUAGAGAUCGGGAGGAACAUCAGUGGCGAAGGCGGCCACCUGGGACAACACUGACGCUGAGGCACGAAAGCGUGGGGAGCAAACAGGAUUAGAUACCCUGGUAGUCCACGCCCUAAACGAUGCGAACUGGAUGUUGUCUCAACUCGGAGAUCAGUGUCGAAGCUAACGCGUUAAGUUCGCCGCCUGGGGAGUACGGUCGCAAGACUGAAACUCAAAGGAAUUGACGGGGUCAUAGCUGUUUCCUG